rnacentral:rRNA from 1 species
UACGGGGGGGGUAAGCGUUGUUCGGAAUUAUUGGGCGUAAAGGGCUCGUAGGCGGUUUGUCGCGUCGGGAGUGAAAACACUGGGCUUAACUCAGUGCUUGCUUUCGAUACGGGCAGACUAGAGGUAUGCAGGGGAGAACGGAAUUCCUGGUGUAGCGGUGAAAUGCGCAGAUAUCAGGAGGAACACCGGUGGCGAAGGCGGUUCUCUGGGCAUUACCUGACGCUGAGGAGCGAAAGUGUGGGGAGCGAACAGG